GCAAAUUCUUUCCAAUUCCCUUCCAUCAUCGCCCUCGGAGCGGAUGAGAGCCGGACGCCGGAGGGGAAACCAAAGCCCUUUCCUUUUCCUCCUCUUAGAUUUCCAAGGUUUUUAAAUAUAUCCAUAGGGUUGUUCGCUUCCUGGGGUUUCGAUUUCCUCCUCUACGCCUUCUUGGCGUCGGAUUUCGUUGCCCGGAAUUUUUUUUUGCGAUUUUUUCCUAUUUAUUUUUUCAUUCUUGGUCGGCAAUCUGGGUGCCAUGAAGGAGGAACUUCUAGAGGCGUUCGAGGCCGCGAAGAGGGCGGCGGACGCGGCGGCAGAGGCUGGCGGCGCGUCGCCGGAGGCGGAUCGGUGCGUGGAUGCGCUGCGGCAGCUGAGGAAGAUCCCGGUCACGACGGAGGUCCUGGUGGCCACUCAGGUUGGCAAACGUCUUCGCUAUCUUACAAAGCAUCCUCACUUGAAGAUUCAAGCAAUUGCUUCUGACCUGUUGCAGUUCUGGAAAAAGGUAGUUAUUGAUGAGACUGCCAAUGGUAAAAAAAAUACUGAAAGUAAGAGCUCUGUUAAAGUUGAAAUCAAAUCUGAGAAAGCAGAGACUGCUAAGGUUGACAAGGUUUCAAAGGCUGGGUCUGAUAAGGUUGACAAGAUUUCAGAUUCAGAAAGUUUCAAGGCUGAGAAGAAAGAUUCAGAUAGAUUGAUGAAGGUUGAGACUUUGAAGUCAGAAAAAAUAAAGAUUGAGACAGGGAACAAUGAGUCUUCAGGUCAAAAUAUCAAAGUUGAGAGGAUCUUGAAGGAAGAGAACAGGGAUUCUGUUAUUAAGAAGCCAUCAUCGGUCCCAGUUGGUCCACCAAAGCUGACAUCAAUGAUCAAAUGUAAUGAUCCUCUGCGUGACAAACUCCGGGAACUACUUGCUGAAGCUUUCUCUAAAGUUUCUGGUGAGACUGGUGCAGAUGAUAGGGAUGAAGUCAGAAACAUCUUAGAUGAAGUAGAUGUUUGUGACCCAAUUCGAGUCGCUGUCGCUGUGGAGUCUGUGAUGUUUGAAAAGCUAGGCCGUUCUAAUGGUGCUCAUAAGCUUAAAUAUAGGUCCAUAAUGUUCAACUUAAAGGAUGCCAAAAACCCUGAUCUGCGAAGACAAGUUCUCCUUGGCCUAGUGAAGCCUGAGAAACUAGUUGAAAUGACUCCUGAAGAGAUGGCUAGUGAUGGGAGAAAGCUUGAAAAUAAGCAGAUUAAAGAGAAGGCUCUGUUUGAAUGUGAACGUGGAGGGGCUCCUAAAGCUACAACUGAUCAGUUUAAAUGUGGCCGGUGUGGACAGCGGAAGUGCACUUACUAUCAGAUGCAAACCCGGAGUGCUGAUGAGCCGAUGACAACUUAUGUAACAUGCGUAAACUGCAACAACCACUGGAAGUUCUGUUGACCACAUCAUGCAGCAGGACAUUUGCAGCCAAGUUUGUCCAGCACCUUGUCUUUUAUCAUGUUCAGAUUUGAUAGACUAGGUCUUCAGUCUCUAAUGUCGUAUAAACUUGUUGUCCUUGGAGAGUUUAGUUACUAUGGCACCUGCAAUCUUCAAAAUGGUCCAUGUAUUUCCGUCAUUUGUUAUUUGCUGCCCCAGUUAGUAGUGAGCUCUGAAUCCAAGUGCACUUCUUUGGUAGUGCACCCUCUUCUCCCUUUGGAUAUUUACAGGUAGAGAAACAUGAGAAGUACAUCAACCAGAAGUGUUAGUCAUGUCUACUUUCUUGCUGAUGUCUGAACCCAGCUUCAUUCAGUCAGUAUUCCUGUGACAAAUGCAGAUCCUCACCACUGAUAGCUGCCAGAGACUUUUUCUUUUGUAUCAGGGCUUCUCCCUUUUGGGGUAAAACAAAUAUACUUUUGUAUACAUAAAAUAUGUAAAAGCUCUAUAUUUUGUACCACUGAGCAUGUGUACUAAAAAUGCUUUAAUAUAUGAGAGUUUAACUGGUUUGA